AGAGUUUGAUCCUGGCUCAGGAUGAACGCUAGCUACAGGCUUAACACAUGCAAGUCGAGGGGCAGCAUGGUCUUAGCUUGCUAAGGCCGAUGGCGACCGGCGCACGGGUGAGUAACACGUAUCCAACCUGCCGUCUACUCUUGGACAGCCUUCUGAAAGGAAGAUUAAUACAAGAUGGCAUCAUGAGUCCGCAUGUUCACAUGAUUAAAGGUAUUCCGGUAGACGAUGGGGAUGCGUUCCAUUAGAUAGUAGGCGGGGUAACGGCCCACCUAGUCUUCGAUGGAUAGGGGUUCUGAGAGGAAGGUCCCCCACAUUGGAACUGAGACACGGUCCAAACUCCUACGGGAGGCAGCAGUGAGGAAUAUUGGUCAAUGGGCGAGAGCCUGAACCAGCCAAGUAGCGUGAAGGAUGACUGCCCUAUGGGUUGUAAACUUCUUUUAUAAAGGAAUAAAGUCGGGUAUGCAUACCCGUUUGCAUGUACUUUAUGAAUAAGGAUCGGCUAACUCCGUGCCAGCAGCCGCGGUAAUACGGAGGAUCCGAGCGUUAUCCGGAUUUAUUGGGUUUAAAGGGAGCGUAGAUGGAUGUUUAAGUCAGUUGUGAAAGUNUGCGGCUCAACCGUAAAAUUGCAGUUGAUACUGGAUAUCUUGAGUGCAGUUGAGGCAGGCGGAAUUCGUGGUGUAGCGGUGAAAUGCUUAGAUAUCACGAAGAACUCCGAUUGCGAAGGCAGCCUGCUAAGCUGCAACUGACAUUGAGGCUCGAAAGUGUGGGUAUCAAACAGGAUUAGAUACCCUGGUAGUCCACACGGUAAACGAUGAAUACUCGCUGUUUGCGAUAUACAGCAAGCGGCCAAGCGAAAGCGUUAAGUAUUCCACCUGGGGAGUACGCCGGCAACGGUGAAACUCAAAGGAAUUGACGGGGGCCCGCACAAGCGGAGGAACAUGUGGUUUAAUUCGAUGAUACGCGAGGAACCUUACCCGGGCUUAAAUUGCAGAUGAAUUACGGUGAAAGCCGUAAGCCGCAAGGCAUCUGUGAAGGUGCUGCAUGGUUGUCGUCAGCUCGUGCCGUGAGGUGUCGGCUUAAGUGCCAUAACGAGCGCAACCCUUGUUGUCAGUUACUAACAGGUUCCGCUGAGGACUCUGACAAGACUGCCAUCGUAAGAUGUGAGGAAGGUGGGGAUGACGUCAAAUCAGCACGGCCCUUACGUCCGGGGCUACACACGUGUUACAAUGGGGGGUACAGAGGGCCGCUACCACGCGAGUGGAUGCCAAUCCCCAAAACCUCUCUCAGUUCGGACUGGAGUCUGCAACCCGACUCCACGAAGCUGGAUUCGCUAGUAAUCGCGCAUCAGCCACGGCGCGGUGAAUACGUUCCCGGGCCUUGUACACACCGCCCGUCAA
rnacentral:rRNA from 1 species